rnacentral:rRNA from 1 species
UAUUGGGCAAUGGACGAGAGUCUGACCCAGCCAUGCCGCGUGCAGGAAGAAGGCCUUCUGGGUUGUAAACUGCUUUUGAACGGGAACAAAGAGCCCCUGCGGGGGAAGAAGAGUGUACCGUUAGAAUAAGCACCGGCUAACUCCGUGCCAGCAGCCGCGGUAAUACGGAGGGUGCAAGCGUUGUCCGGAUUUAUUGGGUUUAAAGGGUGCGUAGGCGGCUAUUUAAGUCAGUGGUGAAAUCCAGCAGCUCAACUGUCGAACUGCCAUUGAUACUGAAUAGCUUGGAUAUAGUUGAGGUAGGCGGAAUUGACGGUGUAGCGGUGAAAUGCAUAGAUAUCGUCAAGAACCCCGAUUGCGAAGGCAGCUUACUAAACUAUAAUUGACGCUGAGGCACGAAAGCGUGGGGAUCAAAC